rnacentral:rRNA from 1 species
GACGAACGCUGGCGGCGUGCUUAACACAUGCAAGUCGAACGGUAAGGCCCCAGCUUGCUGGGGUACACGAGUGGCGAACGGGUGAGUAACACGUGGGUGACCUGCCCCGCACUUCGGGAUAAGCCUGGGAAACUGGGUCUAAUACCGGAUAGGACCGCACCGUGAUGGUGUGGUGGAAAGUUUUUCGGUGUGGGAUGGGCCCGCGUCCUAUCAGCUUGUUGGUGGGGUAAUGGCCUACCAAGGCGGCGACGGGUAGCCGGCCUGAGAGGGUGGACGGCCACAUUGGGACUGAGACACGGGCCAGACUCCUACGGGAGGCAGCAGUGGGGAAUAUUGGACAAUGGGCGAAAGCCUGAUCCAGCAAUGCCGCGUGAGUGAUGAAGGCCUUAGGGUUGUAAAGCUCUUUUACCCGGGAUGAUAAUGACAGUACCGGGAGAAUAAGCUCCGGCUAACUCCGUG